rnacentral:lncRNA from 10 species
CAAGGAUGGAAACUGGAAGGCUGGGUAAGAGGCCCCUGCAGGAAUAUCCCAGAGAGAAAGUUGAGGUUAGAUUAGAGCAAGGUCGGAUACUGGAAGGCUGGGAGAACAAAGAGAUCAGCUGUGUCAAAUCAUACUAAAAGGUCAAGUAAGAUUGUGCAAUUGAGGCUGUACUCUCUAGAGGAUGCAGUCUAACUGUGGAGGGACGUUCCAGGCUGGAGGGGACGAGGGGAUACCUCUGGAGGAUCUCAAACGUG